GAUCCUGUGGAGCUCAACUGGUAGAGCAUGGCAUUUGAAGUACCAGGGUUAGGGGUUUGAUUCCCAUUGGAAUCA